rnacentral:rRNA from 1 species
CUUACGGGAGGCAGCAGUGGGGAAUAUUGGACAAUGGGCGCAAGCAAGAUCCCUCCGUUGUUAAAAAGUGAUGAUGGCCGAAGAGAAAUAAAGCUCUUUUAUGCGGGAAGAUAAUGACGGUACCGCAAGAAUAAGCCCCGGAAAAAUUUGCCCCCGCAGGCGCUAUUACGUAGGGGGGGCGAGUUUUUCUGGGAAUCAGUGGGUAUAAAGGGUGCGUGGGCGGGUCUAUAAGUCAGGUGUGAAAUCCCGGGGCUCAACUCGGGAACUGCCUUUGAUACUGAAGAUCUAGAGUUCGGGAGAGGGGAGUGGAAUUCCGAGUGUAGCGGUGAAGUGCGUAGAUAUGGGGAAGAACACCAGUGGAGAAGGCGGCUCUCUGGCCCGAUACUGACGCUGAGGCAAGAAAGCGUGGGGAGCAAACAGGAUUAGAUACCGGGGUAGUCCACGCCGUAAACGAUGAAUGCCAGCUGUUGGGGGCAACCCAUCAGUGCCGCAGCUAACGCGUAAGCAUCCGCCU